UGCCCCGUAGUAUAACGGUAAUACGCUUGGCUCUGAACCAAGAAUUCGUGGUUCGAAUCCACGCGGGGCAG
rnacentral:tRNA from 1 species